GAAAUUAGUAUUACAAAUACAGAAUAAGGAUUUUAUUCAUCACAUUCAUCUAGCACCUACACAUUUCCACAUCCAUCUUACUCUUAAAUAAAUUGAUGGUGUUGGAAACACUCAUCAUAUGCCAACCAUCCCACUAAACACUCAUCAUAUGCCAACUAUCCCACUAAACACUCAUCAUUUCACUAAACACUCAUUAUUCCACACACUCAUCAUUCCACUAAACACUCUUUACACCUUCUUUUGCCAGCCAUCUUCUACACUUUAACAUCUCAACAUGCAAUUAGCUUUUAUUUAAUCAAAAUCAGCAACCAACAUUCCUCCCAUUCCUCCUAACAUUCUGAUCCAAGCUAUACGUUCUUAUGCUUGAAUUAUAAUUCACUGAUUCCAGCUUUCCAAAUCAGUUUCCAAGAUUUCCCAAAACAAGAAAGAGGUAAUAAACGUCCAUUAAUUCUUCCAAUUCUUUCAUAGUUUUCAGAUCCAAAAUUUCAUUGUUAAGCUUGGCUGAAUAAAUUCGCAGAUCCAAUUUUGGUGAAUUCAGAAAGAAGAUUUUCCUCAUUUCCUACUCAUAUCAAGGUCCGGGCGACAGAAAGUGAAGCAGAAGAAGAAACGAUUCCACGCCAACUUUAAGAACAAUUGAGGUUGAGCAGGCGAUGGAAUGGAUUGGUGUUGAGCGGAUUUUCCUUUUGAUGUUUAUGUAAUGAAACCUUGAGUAUGCAUCUCCAUAUGCAUAACUCACACGUUUUUCCGCUGCAAACACUCUGAAUUUGUUAUCGUAUUGUGGAACUUAUUACUCCUUCAUUUUGUUUAACUUUCAUUUGGGGUUUAGUCGUUAUGGCUGGCUCAUUUGUUAAUUACCUAAGUGGUUAUAUAUAUAUAUAUACCACUAGUUUGUUGUUA